rnacentral:lncRNA from 1 species
ACGAGGAAACAAGCUUUAUUGAUCACUGUCAAAAGAAUUUAUUUUACAAUGAAUCCACCAAACUCAGUUGACUAGAUCCACCAUAGCUAAUGAACAAUUGUACCUGAAAGAGGAGAGAAGAAGAAGAGAAGUUGGUUAGAAUUUAGAGAGAGAAAGUAGAGAGAAGAGAAAGCAGUUGAGGUAGUUAACUAUAUUAUACCGUGUAUGCUUGAGUCCUCAACUCCCUCUAUGGUUAUUUAAUUGGGAGACAUUUGGGCCUUAAUCUUCAUUAAUCCCUUAGUUGGGUCAGCUGGCUCAGUUGCAUCAGAUGGCCCAGCUGGGCUUUUUAAUCAAUUGAAGUCAAUUAGUUGAGGCCCACUCCUUACAAGCCCAACCUUCAAGAUGACUAGGUCACUUUCCUAAUUAGAACUUAGGAAUAUCCGACAUUACAUCUCCUUCCCCUUCGAAAAAGAUCUUGUCCUCAAUGUCGUAGUUGAGCUACAAAAUUUUGGAAUCGAUGUUUGAUAUAGCUCCAGUCCUCCCAAGAUGCUUCAUUUUCACUCAAAUUAGCCCAUUGAACCAAUACUUACACCCCAACUCCAUUAUUGACCUUUACCAUUUUCCUCUGAAGAAUAGCGACUGGUUGAAUCAAGAUUCUUCCUUUUCUGACGCAGAGGGAAGGUUGUUGUGUUGGAACAAUGGAGGGACCUAUGUGACGCUUCAACUGCGAGACAUGAAACACUGGGUGUAUUUGUGACCAGGUGGAAGCUGUAAUCGGUAAGCUACAGAUCCUAUCUUCUUUUCAAUAAUAUAUGGACCAUAGUAUUUGGCACACAAUUUUACAACUCUGCGCAUAUCAAUAGAAGAUUGUCGAUAGAGUUAUAGCUUUAGGUAAACUUGAUCCCUUACUGCUAGUACUCUGUCUGACCUUAGUCUAUCUGCGUAGAAUUUCACACGAGCUUGUCCUUGUGUCAAGUUUUCCUUCAGUGUCUGUAAUAUUUGCUGAUGUUGAGCCACGCACACUCCUGCUGGUGAUUGACCUGUGUUAGGCAAGGAUCCCAUAGGUAAUUGUGGUGGUGGUUAACCAUAUAGUUCCUAGAAAAGGGUGAUUUUCAGUGCACUAUGAUUAUUUAUGUUGUACCACCACUCCGCCAAAUGAAGCCACUUAGUGCAUAGCUUAGGAUUAUCAAACACCAUUGCACGUAGAUAAGUUUUCAUGUACUAUUUAGCCUUUCAGUAUGCCCAUCUGACUGCGAAUGAUAGGUUGUGCUCGUGUUCAGCUAAGUGCCCAUAGUCUUGAAAAGAUGCUGCUAGAAAUGGCUGGUAAAUAUAGAAUCCCUAUCAGACACUAUUAUUUUAGGUAGCCCAUGUAAUCUAUAAACCUCAUUGAGAAAUAGAUAUGUAACCUCAGAAGCUGAGAAUGGGUGUUUAAUGGCAAGAAAUGACCAUACUUGGGGAAUCUAUCAAUCACCACUAGCACUGCAUUUUCCCCCCAGAACUGGGUAGUCCAUAUACAAAAUCCAUGGAUAUAUCUUUCCAUGCCUGGUGUGGAAUUGGCAGUUGCUAGAGCAAGCCUGGUGAAUGAAUAUUUUCAGUUUUAACCCUUUGACAAACAUCACACUCCUCUACCCAUUUACACAAUUCUUUUUCAUAUUUGGCUAAUGAAACAGAAGUUCCAAUCUCUUAUAAGCUCCUUGAUGUCCUGAAUGCCCUCCAGUAGAAGAAUGAUUAUUAGUUUGUAGAAUCUUUUCCCUUAUAUCAGUACCCCUUCCCAUAUACAUUUUCUAUUUGUACCUUGUGACCCUUUGGUGUAAUGUGUAGUCCUCCCUACUGUUAGGAUUGAUGGUUAACUUUGUCAGUAGUUGAAAUGUUGUAGGAUCCCCUUCAUAACUAUCCACAGUGUCCUGCAACCAAGUGGCAUGUAGGCUGGAUAUAGCCAUUAGAGUAGAUUCAUGUUCUUGACUCCUUGAGAGACCAUCUGCCACUUUAUUUUCACUUCCCUUUUUGUAUUGAACCUCAUAGUCAAGGCCCAAGAGCUUGGUUAGCCCUUUUUGUUAUAAGGCUGUAGUUAUCUUCUGCUCUAAUAGGUAUUUCAAACUUUGGUGAUCAUUCUUAACAACAAAAUGUCAUCCUUGUAAGUAAUGUCUCCACCUAUCUACAGCUGAAAGUACUAUCAUAUGCUAUUUUUCAUAAGUUGACAAUCCUUUGUGUUUGAGUGCUAAUGCUUUGCUAAAAAAAGCUAUAGAUCUACCUCCUUGCAUUAGUACAACACCCAUUCCAGUAGCACAUGCAUCAGUUUCUGUCACAAAAGGCUUGGCGAAAUCAGCCAAACUAAGCACUAGUAUUGUUGCCAUAACUGUUAUAAAUUGUUGAAAGGUUGAUUCAGCUUCUUCAUUCCACUGAAAGGCAUUCUUCUUAAGCAAAUUAGUUAAUGGUCUUCUUAUAAUUCUGUAAGAUUUAAUAAAUCUCCUAUAGUAGCCAAUCAGCCCAAGGAAUCCCCUUAAGGCUUUCACAAAUUUAGGUAUAGGUCAAUUCACCAUUGCUUCAAUUUUAGCAGGGUUAGUAGAAACCCCUUCGCCUGAAAUAAUAUGCCCCAAGUAUUCCACUUUAUCCUGUCCAAAAGCCAUUUAGACAUCUUUGCAUAAAGUUGUUCCUUCAAUAGAAUCUCUAGUACUUUUCUGAGAUGUAGUACAUGAGCAUCCAUUGAAGAAAUGUAGACUAAUAUAUCAUCAAAAACACCAAUACAAACUUCCUCAAAAAGGGUUUAAGCACAUGAUUCAUAAGGCUUUGGAAAGUGGUUGGGGCAUUGGUCAAACUAAAGGGCAUGACCCUAAAUUCAUAGUGCCCUACAUGUGUUCUAAAGGCAGUAUUGUAAAUGUCCCCUUCCUUCAUUCUUAUUUGGUGAUAACCAUCCCUCAAGUCAAUUUUUGAAUAAAUGCAAGAAUCAUUAAGCUCAUCCAUAAGGUCAUCUACUAAGGGAAUUGGAAACUUAUCCUUAAUGGUCAUUUUGUUUAGUUCUCUAUAAUCAGUUCAAAAACUCCAACUUCCAUCUUUUUUCUUAACUAACAAUACAGGGGAAGAGAAUGGGGAGUGGUUGGGUUGUAUAAUUCCAUUACUAAGCAUUUCAUUAACUUGCUUUUCUAUAUCAUUCUUCUGAAAAUAAUUGUACUUUUAUGGUCUGAUACUUAUAGGUACUGCUUCAGGUUUGAGUGGAAUCUGAUGAUCAUGGGUCCUCCUUAGUGGCAGGCACUUUGGUUCAGCAAACACUCAUGGGAACUCAGCUAUAAUGUCCUGAAUCUUGUCAGGUAUGCUACUUGGUGCUUUUGUGGUCUAUACAUUAAUAGUAAAUAAAUGUUCCAAUAACACCUGUCCUUUCUUCGAUAAUUGCUUCACUCCAGUAGCAGUCAUACUCUACAGCUUGCCUUUCUCAAAGUAUCCCUUCAAUUCUGCCCUUUUCCCCUUCACACUAACCUGUAGUUUGUAUACAAUAAAAGUCAAACAGGAUGGUGUUGUGUUUUAUCAUCCAAUCCACCCCCAAGACUACGUCACAAGCCCCCAUAUCCAAAACUCUCAAUUUGUGCUCAAAUUCAUUGCCCUGAGUUUUCCACUUGAAUUGAGGAUGUGGUAACUCAUUAGAUACCCUCCAUUUUCCACAACUACCCUCAUUGGUACAGCUUCUUGGAUUGCACAUCCCAGUUGCUUCGCAGUGCUACUAGCUAUGAAGCUGUGAGUGCUACCACUGUCUGCUAGGAUUGAUAGUUAUAGAGGUAAUAGUCCCUGAUAAUGCAUUGAGACUAAUUGUCUCAUCUAUGAUAACUUCUGAAUUCUCAACAGGAACUAUCUCAUAUUCUAUCUUACCCUCUAUCUCUAAUUGCUCUUGUUCUAUUGUCCUUGAAAAUGUGUUGAGCUGUUUAUUAUUGCACACAUGUCCAGGAAAGUAUCUCUCUCCACGCUUAUAGCAUUCUCCCCUAGCUUUUCUUGUUUCAAAGAGUUUGUUCCCUGAGAUUGAAGGCUGUUAGUUACUCUCCUUUUGUACAUAGCUAGAAGGCUUGCUCAUUGUAGUGUUAACAUAAGUAUUUGGCUGUAGGUUCUGUCGUCCUCCAUAUCCCUUCUUCUUAUUCAUUGAUUCCAUUAAUUCUUCCUUGUGUCUAGCUUUUUCUACAACAUGACUUAAUGAAUAAGGAUCAAGUAUUUUAACAGUAUGUCUAAUCUCUUCUUUAAGCCUUUCUAUAAAAAAAACCCUAAAAAGAACUAUUCAAGUAUGGUUGGAUGUUUGAUUAACACCUAUGCCUUCAAAUCUUCAAACCUCUCUAAGUAUUCAUUGACUGAUCCAUUUCGCUCUACCGUUUUAAAUCUCUCCAGCAAAUUUAGAUUGCUAUUAUCUGCAUUAUUAAAUCUUUUAUUGAUUUCUUCCACAAAUUUACCCCAUCUAAUAGUACCCCUACUUAGUUGAUAAGAAAAGUACCAUGCUUCUGCUCUACCAUUCAAAUGCAAUGCGACAAUAUCAAGUUUAUGUUGUCGAUCCAUUAUAUGAUCGAAUUGAAAAUACCUUUCGCAUUUUUGCAGCCAAGCUUUUGGAUCUCCUUCUUCGAAGUAAGGGAAAUCAAUUUUGGAGUUUAAAUUGUUCGAGUAGGAUCACCCCACAGGAACCUCAUGAUUCUCCAUCAUCCUUCCUCGACUACCAUAGCCCUAUACUGUAUGAGCAACUGUUGGAGCACUACCCAAAAUACCAUCCUUGCUUGCGAAGAACUUGCCCAUUAGAAGAUCAAAUUUAUGAUUCAGUUCAUCCAUUUUAGAGUCAUCCGACUCCAGCUUUUUACUAGUUUCUGCCAUGUAAUUUUGUAAUUGAUUCUCCAGCUUCAUAACACUUUCUUCUGUAACUUUAGAUCUGGUUUCUGGUACUGUCAUGGUGCCAGGACUUGAUCUAAUACCAACUUGUAAUACACUAGAGAAUUUAUCUCAAGAAUUGAACGAAAUGAAGAAAUGAGAAUGAGGAACAAACUUUAUUGAUCACUGACAAAUGAAUUGAUUUUACAAUGAAUCUACCAAACUAAGUAGACUAUAUCCACCAUAGCUAAUUAACAGUACCUGGAAGAGGAGAGAAGAAGAAGAAAAGUUGGUUAGGAUUUAGAGAGAGAAAGUAGAGAGAAGAGAAAGCAAUUGAGAUAGUUAACAGAAUUAUACCGUGUAUGCUUGAG